rnacentral:rRNA from 1 species
GCCGCGGGCGGCAGCACAACAUGCAGUCGACGCUUCUUUUUCCCCGGAGCUUGCUCCACCGGAAAAAGAAGAGUGGCGAACGGGUGAGUAACACGUGGGUAACCUGCCCAUCAGAAGGGGAUAACACUUGGAAACAGGUGCUAAUACCGUAUAACAAUCAAAACCGCAUGGUUUUGAUUUGAAAGGCGCUUUCGGGUGUCGCUGAUGGAUGGACCCGCGGUGCAUUAGCUAGUUGGUGAGGUAACGGCUCACCAAGGCCACGAUGCAUAGCCGACCUGAGAGGGUGAUCGGCCACAUUGGGACUGAGACACGGCCCAAACUCCUACGGGAGGCAGCAGUAGGGAAUCUUCGGCAAUGGACGAAAGUCUGACCGAGCAACGCCGCGUGAGUGAAGAAGGUUUUCGGAUCGUAAAACUCUGUUGUUAGAGAAGAACAAGGAUGAGAGUAACUGUUCAUCCCUUGACGGUAUCUAACCAGAAAGCCACGGCUAACUACGUGCCAGCAGCCGCGGUAAUACGUAGGUGGCAAGCGUUGUCCGGAUUUAUUGGGCGUAAAGCGAGCGCAGGCGGUUUCUUAAGUCUGAUGUGAAAGCCCCCGGCUCAACCGGGGAGGGUCAUUGGAAACUGGGAGACUUGAGUGCAGAAGAGGAGAGUGGAAUUCCAUGUGUAGCGGUGAAAUGCGUAGAUAUAUGGAGGAACACCAGUGGCGAAGGCGGCUCUCUGGUCUGUAACUGACGCUGAGGCUCGAAAGCGUGGGGAGCAAACAGGAUUAGAUACCCUGGUAGUCCACGCCGUAAACGAUGAGUGCUAAGUGUUGGAGGGUUUCCGCCCUUCAGUGCUGCAGCUAACGCAUUAAGCACUCCGCCUGGGGAGUACGACCGCAAGGUUGAAACUCAAAGGAAUUGACGGGGGCCCGCACAAGCGGUGGAGCAUGUGGUUUAAUUCGAAGCAACGCGAAGAACCUUACCAGGUCUUGACAUCCUUUGACCACUCUAGAAAUAGAGCUUC